CCGGGUAUUCCAUCAAAUAAUAUGAGCAAUAAAGAUCCUUUUUCUGUCGAAAUUGAAAAGGAAGAAAUGUUUAAUCUUAGUCAACAAGAAGUUGAUAAUUUAAUUGAAAUUUCAUCGAUGAUAAUUUAAUUAAUCUUAAAAAAGUGUUUGAAACUGCACCAUUAAUUAAUUUUUGGUUGCGCUGUCAAAAGGUAUAUCCAGGAAUAUCCAAAAUUUGUUUUGUAAAUAAAUGUUUUUUUCAUAAGGUGGGUCGCGAAAAAUUUUAAAAUCUCUUACCGGACCGUGGUCAAAAAAGUUUGGGAAACGCUGGUAUGCGGCAACCACACACAUAUUGAGCAUGACUGCAAACAUGUCAACAUCGAGCGCAAACAAAUUUUUCAAAAAACGUCGAAUAUUCUGAAAAAUGGGUAAAAUUUGGGCCAUAUUCAUGGUAAUACUAGUACUAGCAUUAAUAAUUUCAAAAGACAUCUUAUUCAAUGGUGGCAUCGGCAAAGCUUGAAAUAUAUCUAAUCUAAUCUCAAUAAGUCAUUAUCGAAUAAAAUUUUACUGAAUUCUCAAAAUCUGAUCAAAUCAAGAAAAAACUGGAUAUGUUUGUAUUAUUGAACCAGAAGAUGGUAAUUGUUAACAAUCAAUUGGUAGACUCGAAUCAGACCUUGAGCUGUUUGAAAGGUGCGGUGACAAGUAAAAAAAUUGUCGAGGGAAUUAAUUUCAAAAUUAUUGAUCUUAAAAAAUUUAUAUUACCACGAAGAUAUCAGCGUCAACGUUGUGUAUUGAAUCGUGCUUUGAGGCGUGAUCGGUAUCGCAUGUAUUUGUUUUUUGUGUCAAUUAUUAAAAUAUUUUCUAGUCAACAAUUCAUGGAUCCAAUUUGUUUACAUUAAUUCAAAAGGCCGAAUGCCUUUCACAAAUAAAUGAUGGUUGGACAUGAGUUCUUAAAAUGAUCAAAAGUUCAACUUCUUGGGUCAGGGAAAAGAUUGAUUUUGUCAUUGAAAUCUGACCAAAACUAGUCGUUUGUUUGUUUUGUUUGAAAAAACGUCUCAUUUCAAAUCUGCACACUGACUUGAUCAUACACCAUCAUAUUGCAUUAUCAUGGUUUUCUUCUUACAUUCGUUUAAUUAUAAAAAAAGAAAAGAGAGACAAAGGACAAGAUGACCAAGUUUAUUCUGAUACUCAUUUUGGUUCGUGGAAUGUUUUUGAUCAUGGUAAAUUCUAUCGAAUAUCAACUAGCUAUAGAUGGAUGGACCAGAUACCGUGACCGAUAUCACCACGUACAGUGAUGAUGAUAAAAAGACUGAAACAACAACAAUGAUCAUAAAGAUGGCCAACAAAAACUCUUAUGACGAAGGUUUCUGGUUUUUGGGAUUGUUCUUUCGGUUGUGGCCAUGAUCACAUUCUGGGCAUAUUUCAAGAUGGCUAAUGUUAAGAA